ACCAACAACCAAGAAAUGCUAGAAAGAAGAUGCAGGAAAGGAAAUCUGAUCUUCUGGUUUUUUGGUCUUUAUUUACCCCCGGGUUCCACGUGAUACGAUACAGAGCCCGUGGCAUUCGAGCAAGAUUCCUUACCAUCUCCCUUGGCGGUGGGCCCCCAGCCUCUAAGGCUAAGCUCAGUAUUACUGUCCAUUCAUGUUUAGCUCCAUUGUAUGUAUGAUGGCCACAGAAAGCAUCCUAAGUACCUUCUGGUCCAAAUCCUCAAGAAACUGGGCAGCGAGAAGUGCUGUGUGGACUGUUCCUCACUACACGGCAAAUUUCCAGAUGCAGCUGGCUGGGAAACUUACCAGCGGUACAUUUCAAAGCAGACCUCUUCAAGUCAAUGUCUCAACAUGGUUAUGCAGUGCAAACGGCCACCCUAAUUCUUCCCAAAGUCCUCCAACAAUAUUCGUCUAAAGGGUAUGAACCCAAGAAAGAUACCCGAAUAAGGAAGUAUAGAUUCAGAAAAAGAAGAAAGCUAAAAAAAUCUGUUGGAACAAUGGCAGUGGUUAUGUGCCAGUUAGUCUUGUAAGUGAUGUCACUUUGCUCACUUACACCUGGAAACUCUUGGAGGCGGUACCGUUAAUGAUGUUCCAUGUCACAAGUGAAGAAAUUGAGGCAAAGGGGAGGAUUCACCUGCUGGAGGUCACACGACCACAGGGAGGUAGUGAAACUGGGAUUCAGUCGGCGGGUUCUCAUUUUUGGCAUUUACUUUGUGCCGCCGGAUGGAGAAAACCAUUACAUUCGUACGUGGCUGUCCAACAAAAGGGAAAGAUAUACGUACCAUUCCGCUAUCUGCUUCUUCUGCUGUACAAUAUCUGAGGCACAUCUUUACGGCACUCCUAUCGCUGUAUCGUUUUUAGCAGUUGCGUUAA